UUCCUUAUGUACGUCAUACGUAACAUGGCCGCUUUCAUAAUAAUUUCGAAUUUGACUUAUCUGUAGCUUGUUGUGUUCUUUUUGCUACGUUUUUCAACCCGCAUUUCGCUUAAACUUGCUCGGAUGAAAGCUCUACAGAAUGCCCAAAUAUUACGAGGAUAAAGAGGACGACGGCCGCGCCUGCGCUGGUUUGAGAGAAGAUUUCAAAGCCUGUUUCCUUCAGCAUGACUGUGUAGCGAAGGAGGGUAAGAAGCCCAGUGAGUGUCUGAAGGAAGGACACUGCAAAGGCUUGCAUGUGGCUUUCUUUGAGUGCAAGAGAUCUAUGCUGGACACCAGAUCUCGAUUCAGAGGCCGAAAGGGAUACUGAAUAACACCUUCAACGUGAAUAACAUGUUUGUAUCAAAAUGCCAAGACAUGCUCUCAAAUGUGAUAUCGAGAUGAUCUGUAACCAUCAUUCCCCGCCAGCUCUACAGUGACAGCUCUGUGUUCAGUUUCAGUGAUAUACAUGUCUUCUGUGGCUGCUGCCAUGGCAUAAGAAUCACAGGAGACAAAUCCCUGCCCAUCCACCAGCUUCUUUUCAAUCCUCUCGCUGUAGGUGGACUCCAUGAUGUUCUUAAAGAUCUGCUUCAUAAACCGAGCUUUAUCUGUCCCUUGAGCCAGCCAACCAUCACAGAACUCCUGAAACAGACAUGUGCAGAUAUUGUAUAAUAUAACAUCUAUAUGGCUGCCUAUUCAGGAAUGUAUAAACCACCAACAGUAAUUACAUGAUCAUCUAUAUACAUUCUAAUAAUGUUUAAGAGAUGAGAAUCUCACCCAGGGUAUUUUACUGUGACAAGUGAACUCCCAGGUUGCAAUGUAAACUGGGCAAAUGAAUUCAUUCAGAACAAUAUAUGCUGCAAAGCUCAGGAUCAGCUGCAAAGUUGUGCUCUCCACACACAGUGGUGUUUCCACGCGCUAAAGAUGAACAGAUGUUGUUCUCGAACCUGGUUUAAGUGCAUUAAAAAUAUAAAAAAUAGUCAAUGCAUAUCAGACUGAUUUGCACAGUGUACAAAUUAUUCUGGUGUAGGGCUGGGCAAGAUUGCAUUGCAUUGCAUUAAAUAAAAAAAAUAAGAUAUA